rfam:Candidatus Rokubacteria bacterium 13_2_20CM_69_15_1 13_2_20cm_scaffold_335, whole genome shotgun sequence.
GGGGGCGUGACGGAACUUGGUGAGACGUGGAGGGCUUAAACCCCUCUGUCCGUAAAGGACAUGCAGGUUCGAAUCCUGCCGCCCCUA